UACGAAGGGGGCUAGCGUUACUCGGAUUGACUGGGCGUAAAGGGCGCGUAGGCGGAUGGUCCAGUCAGACGUGAAAUUCCUGGGCUCAACCUGGGGGCUGCGUUUGAUACGUGCUGUCUGGAGUUCGGAAGAGGGUCGUGGAAUUCCCAGUGUAGAGGUGAAAUUCGUAGAUAUUGGGAAGAACACCGGUGGCGAAGGCGGCGACCUGGUCCGAUACUGACGCUGAGGCGCGAAAGCGUGGGGAGCAAACAGG
rnacentral:rRNA from 1 species